rnacentral:lncRNA from 1 species
GGGUCUAGAUCUUCCAAAACGACCUCCUCCGCGUCUACUCUCCAUAGUAGGAGAUGCCUGAUUGUCCACUGACUGGGAUACGAGGACAGAUGAGUCAAGUGUCUGUGAUGAGCUCACUGGGGGGGACUUGGAGCUGCAGCAAGGCGAAGUAAUCGAGAGAAUAGUUCAUCAACUGUGGAGACAGCCGGACUAGCCAAAAUCUGGUCACGUACUGAAUCAAGGUCAUUAGGGAGUCCUGCUAGUGUAAGAACUAGAAACAUCUUCUAUCGUUGCUCUUGUUGCUUUUCAAUACUAGCAAAAACUGGCAUCAACGUCUCAAAUUCUUCCAUGACUGCCUGUACCUGUCCCAAGUAAGUAGACAUAUC